GUGUUUGUAGCUCAGUGCUAUAGUGCUUGACUAUCAUUUAUGAAUCCCUGGGUUUGAUUCCCAGCAGCAUG
rnacentral:tRNA from 1 species